UCGUCAGCUCGUGUCGUGAGAUGUUGGGUUAAGUCCCGCAACGAGCGCAACCCCUAUUGUUAGUUGCUAUCAUUAAGUUGAGCACUCUAGCGAGACUGCCUGGGUUAACCAGGAGGAAGGUGGGGAUGACGUCAAAUCAUCAUGCCCCUUAUGUGUAGGGCUACACACGUGCUACAAUGGCAAGUACAGAGAGACGCAAAACCGUGAGGUCGAGCAAAUCCCUUAAAACUUGUCCCAGUUCGGAUUGUAGGCUGAAACUCGCCUACAUGAAGCCGGAGUUGCUAGUAAUCGCGAAUCAGAAUGUCGCGGUGAAUACGUUCCCGGGUCUUGUACACACCGCCCGUCACACCAUGAGAGUUGGCAAUACCCAACGUCCGUGAGCUAACCGCAAGGAGGCAGCGGCCUAAGGUAGGGUCAGCGAUUGGGGUGAAGUCGUAACAAGGUAGCCGUA
rnacentral:rRNA from 1 species